UCCAGCGGAGGACCAGUGGUUAGGCCUCAGCGCUCUCACCGCCGCGGCCCGGGUUCGAUUCCUGGUCAGGGAU
rnacentral:tRNA from 1 species